rnacentral:tRNA from 1 species
GCGGGAGUAUUUCAACUGUUAGAAUAUGUUCCUUCCCGGAACAAGGUAUAGGCCUAACCCGAACAGAGAUAUAGGUGCAAAUCCUAUCUUCCGCUCCA